rnacentral:rRNA from 1 species
UACGUAGGGUGCGAGCGUUAAUCGGAAUUACUGGGCGUAAAGCGUGCGCAGGCGGUUUGUUAAGUCGGAUGUGAAAUCCCUCGGCUCAACUGAGGAAGUGCAUCCGAAACUGGCAAGCUUGAGUACGAAAGAGGGUCGCGGAAUUCCCGGUGUAGAGGUGAAAUUCGUAGAUAUCGGGAGGAACACCGGUGGCGAAGGCGGCGACCUGGGUCGAUACUGACGCUGAGGUGCGAAAGCGUGGGGAGCAAACAGG